GUGGGGAAUAUUGGACAAUGGGCGAAAGCCUGAUCCAGCCAUGCCGCGUGUGUGAAGAAGGUCUUCGGAUUGUAAAGCACUUUAAGUUGGGAGGAAGAGUAGUAACCUAAUACGUUGCUACUUUGACGUUACCGACAGAAUAAGCACCGGCUAACUUCGUGCCAGCAGCCGCGGUAAUACGAAGGGUGCAAGCGUUAAUCGGAAUUACUGGGCGUAAAGCGCGCGUAGGUGGUUCAGUAAGUUGGAAGUGAAAUCCCCGGGCUCAACCUGGGAACUGCUUUCAAAACUGCUGAGAUAGAGUACGGUAGAGGGUGGUGGAAUUUCCUGUGUAGCGGUGAAAUGCGUAGAUAUAGGAAGGAACACCAGUGGCGAAGGCGACCACCUGGACUGAUACUGACACUGAGGUGCGAAAGCGUGGGGAGCAAACAGGAUUAGAUACCCCAGUAGUCC
rnacentral:rRNA from 1 species